AUUGAACGCUGGCGGCAUGCCUUACACAUGCAAAUCGAACGGUAACGGGCCUUCGGGUGCCGACGAGUGGCGAACGGGUGAGUAAUACAUCGGAACGUGCCCGAUCGUGGGGGAUAACGAGGCGAAAGCUUUGCUAAUACCGCAUACGAUCUACGGAUGAAAGCAGGGGACCGCAAGGCCUUGCGCGGACGGAGCGGCCGAUGGCAGAUUAGGUAGUUGGUGGGAUAAAAGCUUACCAAGCCGACGAUCUGUAGCUGGUCUGAGAGGAUGAUCAGCCACACUGGGACUGAGACACGGCCCAGACUCCUACGGGAGGCAGCAGUGGGGAAUUUUGGACAAUGGGCGCAAGCCUGAUCCAGCCAUGCCGCGUGCAGGAUGAAGGCCUUCGGGUUGUAAACUGAUUUUGUACGGAACGAAAAGCCUUCUUUUAAUACAGGAGGGUCAUGACGGUACCGGAAGAAUAAGCACCGACUAACUACGUG
rnacentral:rRNA from 1 species